UGCGAAGGACGAAGGAGGGUACUCAACUCGUGGUUGCCGGCCGGGUGGCGAGUGCCGGGCCGUAGGCGCCGAGAUGAAAUGACCAUAGAGCGCAGGCACUGCCACCCGCCGGCAGCACGGGCGUAGUUGUUCCCUCUAGUAGUAUUUACCACAACGCAGCGAGCCGUCUGCGGGAGCCAGGAGGGCCGAUCGUAAUGUACCGGACUGGUACCCUCGGGCAAAGAGGGGAAACCGGCGUGCGCUCCACUAUGCCUGGCUCUUUAGCGCGACGGCUAGCUCAAGGGGGGUCUCCUCUCCGGGGGCGGCCCCUCGCUGUGGAGUAGCGGUGAUCCACCUGACCCGUCUUGAAACACGGACCAAGGAGUCUAACCUGUGCGCGAGUCUAAGGGUCUCUUAAGACCUGGAGGCGCAAUGAAAGUGAGCGAAUUUCUCCGUGAGGAGAGUUCUAUGCUGGCCGAUCCCUGCUCUCCGGAGCGGGGCGCAGGCCGAGGACUCGCCGCUGAGCGGCCGCCUGCUCUGGCCUUGUCUGGCGCCAGCUGGACGGG
rnacentral:rRNA from 1 species